rnacentral:rRNA from 1 species
ACUGCUCAGUAACACGUAGUCAACCUGCCCUGGAGACAUGGAUAACCCCGGGAAACUGGGAUUAGUCCAUGAUAGGUCACCUCAUCUGGAAGGAGAGAUGGCUCAAAGGGGCGGCACGGGCUUGUUCCGUGUCUUUCGCUCCAGGAUGGGACUGCGACCGAUCAGGCUGUUGGCGGGGUAAUGGCCCACCAAACCUGUAACCGGUACGGGCCUUGAGAGAAGGAGCCCGGAGAUGGACACUGAGACAAGGGUCCAGGCCCUACGGGGCGCAUCAGGCGCGAAACCUUCGCAAUGCGCGAAAGCGUGACGAGGCUAGUCCGAGUGCUUCCUGCUAAAGGGAGCUUUUCUCGGCUGUAAAUAGGCCGGGGAAUAAGGGGAGGGCAAGUCUGGUGUCAGCCGCCGCGGUAAUACCAGCUCCUCGAGUGGUCGGGACGAUUAUUGGGCCUAAAGCACCCGUAGCCGGUUCCGUAAGUCCUCUGUUAAAUCCAGCUGCUCAACGGCUGGCCUGCAGAGGAUACUGCGGGACUAGGAGGCGGGAGAGGCGGACGGUACUCCGCGUGUAGGGGUAAAAUCCUUUGAUCCGCGGAAGACCACCAGUGGCGAAGGCGGUCUGCCAGAACGCGCUCGACGGUGAGGGGUGAAAGCUGGGGGAGCGAACCGGAUUAGAUACCCGGGUAGUCCCAGCCGUAAACGAUGCGAGCUAGAUGAUUCGAUCGCAUAACGCGAUCGAAGUGUCGCAGGGAAGCCGUUAAGCUCGCCGCCUGGGGAGUACGGUCGCAAGGCUGAAUCGUAAGAAGAUAUUUUUCUUGCGCAGUUCACUUAAAGGAAUUGGCGGGGGAGCAC